rnacentral:lncRNA from 1 species
CCGUUGCCACUAAAAUACAGUAGAACCUUUCAUCGUGCUCGUCCCUUUCUCUCGUCUCGACUCGAUCGGUUUUCCUUUCGGCCACGUACGGAGAUUGUGUUUGGUGGCAUCGAUCACGCGUCAAGAAUCAAGAUGGCUUCUGUGUUCUGUACAUGUCAGGAAUCAAUAUGCCUGAUUGCGCUGUAUACAAUGCUAGUGCGGCAAUUUCUGUGCAGUUUUUUUUUUUUUUGCGGUUGUGCGAGAGCACCAUCUACCCUCAGAAUUGGCAAGAAAAUGCAUGGAAACCGAUCGAG